rnacentral:rRNA from 1 species
CCUACGGGUGGCAGCAGUGGGGAAUAUUGCACAAUGGGGGAAACCCUGAUGCAGCGACGCCGCGUGAGUGAAGAAGCGUUUCGGCGCGUAAAGCUCUGUCAGCGGGGAAGAAACACGGUUCGCGAGAGCCGCGGACGGUACCCGACCCAGAAGCCCCGGCUAACUACGUGCCAGCAGCCGCGGUAAUACGUAGGGGGCAAGCGUUAUCCGGAUUUAUUGGGUGUAAAGGGGGCGCAGACGGCAAUGCAAGCCAGGCGUGAAAGCCCGGGGCCCAACGCCGGGACUGCUCUUGGAACUGGAUGGCUGGAGAACAGGAGGGGCAGGCGGAAUGCCUAGUGUAGCGGUGAAAUGCGUAGAUAUUAGGAGGAACACCGGUGGCGAAGGCGGCCUGCUGGACUGUGACUGACGUUGAGGCCCGAAGGCGUGGGGAGCAAACAGGAUUAGAUACCCGGGUAGUC